rnacentral:rRNA from 1 species
CCUACGGGGGGCAGCAGUCGAGAAUCAUUCACAAUGGGGGAAACCCUGAUGGUGCGACGCCGCGUGGGGGAAUGAAGGUCUUCGGAUUGUAAACCCCUGUCAUGUGGGAGCAAAUUAAAAAGAGAGAACCACAAGAGGAAGAGACGGCUAAAUCUGUGCCAGCAGCCGCGGUAAUACAGAGGUCUCAAGCGUUGUUCGGAAUCACUGGGCGUAAAGCGUGCGUAGGCUGUUUCGUAAGUCGUGUGUGAAAGGCGCGGUCGCAACCCGCGGACGGCACAUGAUACUGCGAGACUAGAGUAAUGGAGGGGGAACCGGAAUUCUCGGUGUAGCAGUGAAAUGCGUAGAUAUCGAGAGGAACACUCGUGGCGAAGGCGGGUUCCUGGACAUUAACUGACGCUGAGGCACGAAGGCCAGGGGAGCGAAAGGGAUUAGAUACCCCGGUAGUC